AUCGGCAUCAGUCCAGACUAGUACAAGCAGCCACACACACACACACGUGCAUGCACGUCGCUAUAUAAGUGCAAUAAUCUUGGACGCGACGUUAAACCCCAUUUCACCUCACCUCACCUCAAAGGUAUGUCAGUGUUUCAGGAAAGUGAGUGGGACGACAAUAAAACCCUGCAGCUAUGCACGGAUGCUGCUUGCAGUGCAGGCUUUGGUGCAUAUUUUCAAGGACACUGGGUCUCAGGCAAGUGGUCCCGUCAUUGAGUUGAGGACGGUACCACUCGGGAUAUGACAUUACUGGAGCUAUUUCCAAAUUGCGUUGUCUAUUCGAAUGUUGGGUGAUGCCGGUGAUUGUCUUCAGCUGGAUUCAUCGUCAGCAUUAGGGCGGUCGGGUAGCCUAGCGGUUACAGCCUUCGCCCGUCACGCCGAAGACCCGGGUUUCGAUUCCCAAAAUGGGUACAAUGGGUGAAGCAGUGAUAAUACUGGACAAUUGCUAAAAGCGGCGUAAAAUCAUACUCCCUCACUCACUGACACGACAGACCGCCGUCAUAUAGCUGGAAUAUUGCUGAGUGCAGCGUUAAACAACAAACCAACCAACUACCAACCUCGGCGGGAUACGACCUUCACGCUGCGUCCUGUACUUGGAGAUUGUGGACGUCACCUUUAUUUGUACUUGGUUUAUCUGUACAUUAUUAUGAUAAAAUUGUACCAAGUUCGUUGUAGAUCCUGGAGGUAUGUGCGUUAUGCAUGUGCCUGAUUUCAAUAUACAUUAUACAUCUUUUCCAUAUUUGACUUAAUGCCUAAUUAUAUUUACUUUAUUUAAAUAUGUUUAAAUUCAAAAUUGGGGAUAUACACAAUGAUAUGCAUUUUAUCAUAAACAAGUUUACAUUCGAAACAUGUUUAAAAUCUAAAUUCUAAACAUGUUUUACUUCUAAGCAUGGUUGGAAUAUGGGGAUGUUUUAGAUUUUUAGGUGGUGUUUAGGCUGUGAGACGAUAGUUUGUUUUCAUACGUUUAGACCCAAAACGUGUCCAGACAGAAGACACCAAAUAUGUAUUCCGUUUAGGAUUUAAAUACAUUCCUGCACAUGCUUAGAUCUAAACAUGUCUUGUAUGUGUUUACAUUCUAAACAAAUUUCGUGCAGUGUAUGUUGACGAAACACAUAUUUAUUAACUUCUUGAUAUAUAUCAGACGGAAAGGGAUUUUCAUGAUGCAAAAAAUAGCUGCUCCAUGUGAUGUGCGUGUGAAAUGUUCGUGGAUAUAUUUAUAGCUUCAUGAUCCGCGUUAUAAAUGUCACGAGAGUUCUAAUCAGAAAUAGAUUAGGUUGUCAAACCGGGUAACGAGGCCUUGGUGAAACCAUGUUUUGCCUUAUUGACUACCAACACGGACACUUUAUCUAGAAUACAGACGUAAACAUUGCAUGGUAACCAAUAUGCAACGAAAGUCUGUGUUGUGCAAGAUAAUAUUUAUACAAAGACAGUGCAGAGUAAUUCAUUAGCACGUUGCAGAGUGACAGUCUCUUCAAUCUUCAUUCUGCCUCUGAAUCAGUUAACAAUGUCAUAUCUUGAACAUGUGUCGUUAACGUUUCAAAUGUAUAACGAUCUGCGCAAACCUUUUAAAAGUAUAACGAUCUGCGCACGUUCAGCUUCCCAAAUUCGGAUGUUGGCUGCAUAACUCUCCAACAAGGA